rnacentral:rRNA from 1 species
UACGUAGGGCGCAAGCGUUGUCCGGAAUUAUUGGGCGUAAAGAGCUCGUAGGCGGCCUGUUGCGUCCGCUGUGAAAUCCCGGGGCUUAACCCCGGGCCUGCAGUGGAUACGGGCAGGCUGGAGGCAGGCAGGGGAGAACGGAAUUCCCGGUGUAGCGGUGAAAUGCGUAGAGAUCAUGAGGAAGACCAGUGGCGAAGGCGGGUCUCUGGACAGUUCCUGACACUGAGACACGAAGGCCAGGGGAGCAAACGGG